rnacentral:rRNA from 1 species
CGAACGCUGGCGGCGUGCUUAACACAUGCAAGUCGAACGGAAAGGCCCUGCUUUUGUGGGGUGCUCGAGUGGCGAACGGGUGAGUAACACGUGAGUAACCUGCCCUUGACUUUGGGAUAACUUCAGGAAACUGGGGCUAAUACCGGAUAGGAGCUCCUGCUGCAUGGUGGGGGUUGGAAAGUUUCGGCGGUUGGGGAUGGACUCGCGGCUUAUCAGCUUGUUGGUGGGGUAGUGGCUUACCAAGGCUUUGACGGGUAGCCGGCCUGAGAGGGUGACCGGCCAACAUGGGACUGAGAUACGGCCCAGACUCCUACGGGAGGCAGCAGUGGGGAAUAUUGCACAAUGGGCGGAAGCCUGAUGCAGCAACGCCGCGUGCGGGAUGACGGCCUUCGGGUUGUAAACCGCUUUCGCCUGUGACGAAGCGUGAGUGACGGUAAUGGGUAAAGAAGCACCGGCUAACUACGUG